rfam:Strongylocentrotus purpuratus Contig99157_fixed, whole genome shotgun sequence.
GGCAUGGUCGCUCAGUGGUUAGAGCGCCCGCCUUAUGAACAGGAGGUCGCGGGUUCGAACCCCGGCCGAGUCA